GCCUGGGUGGCUUAGUUGGUUAAGCGUCUGCCUUCAGCUCAGGUCAUGAUCCCAGGGUCCUGGGAUUGAGUCCCACUCAGGCU
rnacentral:tRNA from 1 species